CUUCUUUACUCCUGGGAAGAGGUGAGCAAGGGAAAGAGGAAGAUCUCUGUUGCUCUCUAUCUGAAACCUGCUAGGGCUUUUCUUUGCCUUCUAAACACAGUUCAGCCUCCUGAACAGCACAUACAAAUCUCUUCAUAAUAUGAAACUAGUGUAGUAUCUAUUUGCUAUUUUUCCAGGUUUAUUAUGGCACAAGAAACAUCGUUUCAAGAACUUCUUGGCAGAAUCUGAGGUAAAAAGUAAAUAAAUACAUAAAUAAAUAAAUAAAAUAAAACUUUUAUAGUUGAAGAUGCUUGCCUUUAGUGAAAACACCAAAUUCAAGAUUAACAUGUUAUAAAACCAUGGUUUUUGCAAGUUGAGGCACUUGAACACUGCAGACUUGUGAAAUGCAGCUGCUUAAGACUGUGACAAAAUGGUGUUUUUCUCACUUUCUAAUGAGUCCAAUGUAG
rnacentral:lncRNA from 1 species